CUACUUCAGGCAGUCCAAGCGUAUGGAAAUUACAUUAGAACUUCAGCAAAGUGCCCAGCUGCAUAACACAGAAGCCGGCACUCAGAUUGAUAGGCAAAUAAGCCAGCUUGUGCAGGGGCCUCUGGGUGGCAGCUCUGGGCUCCUGGGUGUUGGACAACUAUAGGCAACACUGACAUGGAGCAUGGGCAGAAAAUAGCACACUUUUCUUCUGCGCAACUGUUGCUUUCUCAUGAUCUUCAGGAAUUUUACCUGGAUAAAUCCCCAAAUGACAUUCUAAGCAUCUGUCCAAAUGGUUGUUGAUCAUUAAAAUUGCACUGCAAGGAGACAGACCUAAAUGAACACAUAGUGAGAAAGGAAAAUAAGCAUGACACAUGGAAAGAAAUGUCUCCCCUCCUUCACCAUAGCUUUCCCUUCAAGCCCUGCUGGAACAGAUGAAAGCAUUGGACUGGACUAUAAAUUUCAGAGCUGUCUCUGAGAUGAAGAAAUGUCUGAAGAUCAAGAUCCGAGCAAGGAAAACGAAAGACGCACUAUGACCAGAAUAGAACUGGACAUCUAAUUGAAAAGUACACAGUGCGGAAAGGUUUUUCAAAAACACUUCAGAACAAACAGCAGAUGAAUUCUUAACUCUGUUAAUCACUGACAUCCCUAGCGACUAAUCAGAGAAUUUUUUACUCAGCUAAACAGGCAGAAACUUAAAGUGAAGAUGAGGCGUGAAGAAAUUGAUCAUAGGAGAAAAUCAUCUCAGACUCAUUUCCCUGCAAAACUGCCUGUGGAGCAUUUCUAAUCUGCAUUGCUGCUCCAAGGGCUCUGGCUCCUGGAGGGAUUUGCCUGCCUGGAUUGAGGGCGGCAUCCAGUCGACUUUGGGCUGGAUAGGAUUUCCUUUCAUUUCAUCUCACAGAGGAUCACAUGAGCUGAACGUGACUAAAUAUGAGAUAUGAGUAGGAACAGUUUUGCUAUCAUCUCUGAUUUUGUUACAGGUUCUUAUGAAUGAAGUUUCUAUGCACAAUGUGUUGUUUUAAUACAACAGUCUAAGUAGUAAAAUCUGCUAGGAAAGAAGUUUGAAAAAACUUAAGCAACUUGCUUGAAAGAAAUAGCUAUUGAAGUACUUAAUUCAAUUAUCAACUCAUAAAGUCUAAAUUGACAAGGAUUCAAAUAGCAGUUAUAAGCAUUAGUUUCAUGACAUGGACAUUUUUUGUGGAACAGAAUACAUAUAGUUUGUAGAACCUUAGGCAAAUCUUCACUGUGGGUUAAAUUUAUUUAAAGAGCUUUUCUGAUGACCUUUGAACCUCAAUGAUUUCUCCAGAUGUACAGAAGUGAACAAUGUAAAAAUCUCGCUGUUUCAGCAGAACUGAUUCCAGCUGGCUGUGAGCUGGAUGUGCAAGUCAUUGGUUACAGCUGUGUUUCGAUUUAUGUGAUGGUUGAAAAAAUAAAUUACCCGAUUAGAUGGCUAGAAAGAGGACUCUUUGUUUUGCCCUUGUGUGGGGACUGAAAGUGUUUAUGAUGCUGUUUUCUACGCAGUCUUUGCAAAGUACGCUGGACAAAUAGACUUAUUCAGUGCUCCUAAGAAAUGUUGCAUAUUCAGCUUUAAUUCUUUGUUUAAAAAAAAACUAUUUUUUCGCAAUGCUGUCAUCCAGCAAACGUCUUGAAAAUGUAGCAUUUAAGAGAAGCAGUAUGUGUUUUGUCCUGUGAGCAAUGCAUGUACUAAUCGAAACAGUUUUGCUUUGUUUAAUGUGUGCUUUAGUCCAUAUCUUUGUCAGAAAUAGGAAUGGGAAUACAUCUCUCCUAAAUUCAAUCCUUUGUGGUAGCAAAAUACCUGAACAGAAAUUUGAAUGCAAAU